rnacentral:lncRNA from 1 species
AUGUGGUAUGUGUACCUGCGUGUGUGUGUGUGUGUGUGCGUGCGUGUGUGCGUGCGUGCGUGUGUGUUUUGCUCUCUCUUUUCAAUAACAUGCUCUUCAUCAACUGUAGAUCCCCUUGGAAUCUUCUGCCUAGGUGAGAAUGCAGAGUCUACUCAUGUCUUAGUGAAAUCAAGAAUCAGCCUGGCUGGUUUCCACCCAACGUCUCAUCUUCAAAAGAAGCCAGGGAGUGCCAGAUUGCUGUCAGAUCCAAAUAGGCCAGAUAAGUGUCUGGGUCAGAUUCUGGCCCACAGAGGGAGAAGUGGAUCAGAGGACGGAGAGAAGACUUAAGGAUCUUCUCACCAGUGAAUGAGAAGGUUCCAGGAACCUGUGAGACUAUUACAGUACUAGUAUGCAAGCUGGUAAGUGCUUGGGGAACCUGGCAGGGUUCUGUAAAUUGCAAAAUGUCCUUUGAAAAUGCUGAGGGACUUUGCCAUCUUCUGCCUUCCAGGGUGGAGCCAGAGGGACAUGCGAGCAGGGCCCGCCCCGGAGCACUAGUGGCCACUCACAGGAAGGUUUGCUCAUUUGUAGCCGCUGAGAUUGAACUGCUCACCAAAGUCAUGGAGAAGAUCCAACAGUGAGUCCAAGUUGAAGGUGGAAUUCCUUACCAAUAGCCUUAAAAAUAAGAGUGAAAAUUUCUUUAGUGCUUUAAAUGCUUAAAAAAGAACUUAACAUUGAACAUAAAUAUGACCCAUGAAACUUAUUUAGGAAAUAUUGACAGCUUCAUAUCAGUGGUAGGCCAUGUGGUAUGCUAUAUGUGACAUCUCCUAGCUGUGUGACCUUAGGCAAGUCCCCAGCUCUCAAGGCCCAUAAGGCGCAGAAUGGCUGCGAUCUACAUUAGGCCAGGGAGUUUCCUCAGGAGGAGUCAGCCUAGGAGCCAUCAACCUAGGAGCCAGCAAAAGCUUGGCUUCAGGCCAAAGAAGGAUUUUUAGCUCCUCCCUCAAGCCUCAUUGGGAUGCUUAGUUCGUUUGUUUAUUUUCAUUCAGUUUUCCUUUUGUGUGGUCCUCAUUGACAGAGACUUCUAGUUGUGGUUAUUCUGUCACUGCAGGUUAGAGCUUCAGAUGCUCCUGUUUGGACAUGAUGGUCAACCCCAGAAUCCUGUCACUGUAAAUGUUGUGGAUGAUGUGUGCCCGACCUGUGAUAGAACCUUCUGAGCUUAUGUUGGUCUGAUCAGCCACAGUUGGACACACUAUACCUUGACUCCAACAUAGUGAUGUCAUUUUGGAAGAAGAAGGAGGAGGAGAAGGAGAAGGAGGAGAAGAAGAAGAGGAAGAGGAAGAGGAAGGAGAAGGAGGAGGAGGAGAAGAAGAAGAAGAAGAAGAAGAGGAAGAGGAGGGAGGAGGAGGAGGAGAAGAAGGAGGAGGAAAAGAGGAAGAGGAAGGAGGAGGAGGAGAAGAGGAAGAGGAGGAGGAGAAGGAGGAUUUGAUGCAGGGGCAGCUAGGCGGUAUAGUGGAUAGAGCUCCAGCCUUGGAGUCAGGAGGACCUGACUUCAACUCUGGCCUCAGACACUUGACACUUAGUAGCUGUGUAACCCUGGGCAAGUCACUUAACUGUAGCCAAAAAAGGGGAACCCCCCCCCAACAAAAAAAAAGAGAUUUGAUGCACAGAUCCCUCCCUUUGGACUACUUCGCUUCCUGUCCUAAAUGCAUUAAUUUUUUUUGUGCAAAAGCUUGUCAAUUUCUUAUAAUCAAAAUGAUCUGUUUUAUCUUUUGGAUUUGCCUCCAUCCCUUGUUUGGUUAGGAAUAUAUCUCCUAACCAUUAGUGUGGAAGGUGUUUGAUAUGAUCUUUAAUAUUCAGCUCACUUAUCUAUUUUAAAAUUAUUGUGGUAUCCAGUAUAAGGCGUUGUUCUAAAACUGAUUUCUGCCAGACUACUUUCAAGUGUUCUCAGAAGUUCUUAUCAGAUGGGGGGUAUUUUCCUAAGCAAUUUAUAUUUUUGGAUGUAACUCACCGCUCAAAGCCCAUUUGCACAGGACUUGCCUCCAUGUAUGUGGGAGAGCUUGGGAGAAGAGAGAUCCUAGUCUUCAGGUUUCCAGCUUUGAGACUUCAGGGAGUUUCUCUUGGGUGAGAUCUAGGACACUCCCUUAGUUGAGAUGAGAUAUCUCAUCCCCUGUGGGAGAACUCAUUAGCUAUGUACUGUCUGACAUAUUCUCAUCUACGAAACUUCUCUAAUUUCUGAUGGCUGUUGGCUUGGAUAAACGUGUUUAUUUUGGAGUUUUACUUAACUUAAUGAUUCCAUUUUGUUUCUUCCUUUUAUUUAAUUAUCUAAUGCUUCUCCUCUUAUUUCCCCUUCUUUUUUCCCUCUCAGUUGUCAAUUAAAAAUUUUCCCCUCUUUUCCUCUGAUUUUUCUGUUUGUUGUUAUUUUUUUCUCUUUUUGUAGCUUUUUCUUUAAAAAAAGAUUUCUUUACCUCAGUUACUUCAUUAAUUCCCUUCUAUUUAUGUCUGUUCUAAACUUGGAUUCAUAGUUUCUAUACUUAUUUAUUCUUGUUGUGUUCCUCAUGGAAUUAAAACUUCUAAAGAACUAAUGUCUUCCAGGUAUCACUUUGAAAGUUUGAUGGUUACAGCAUUAAAAUGUAAAUUGUAAUUGGUAAUAUUGCCAUUUUUAUUACAUUGGGAUGGCACAGCCAUGAGCAUCGAACACUCUCUAACUGUUCAAGUUGUUCUUAUUUUAUUUAAGGAGCAUUUUGUAAUUGAAUCUAGGUAAGUAUUGAGUGUACUUUGAUAGCUUAAUUCCAAAAUAUUUUGUUUAUUUUCUAGCUAUUUGGAAUAGGAUUCUCCUUUCUGCUGUUGCCUCUUAGAUUUUGUUAUUAUCAUAUAGGAAUGCUGUGGGUUUAUUUUGUAGUCUGUGACUGCUGAAAUUAUUAAUUUUUUCAAUUAGUUUCUUUGCUUAUUCUCUACGAUUCUCUAAGUAAACUAUUGUUAUCAGCAAAUAGAAAUACGUUCCCUCUAUUCUUUGCAUAUCUUUAUUCUUUGGAUUUCUUCCUCUUAUAUUGUUGUUUUUGCUGGCAUUUCUAGAACUACAUCAGAUAGAUGCAGGGAGAAUGGACAUCCUUGCUUUUCCUUCUCUAUUUAUUGGGAAAGCUUCUGUUGUAUUCCCAUUGCAUAUGACAUUUAUUUUUGGUUUUAGAGAGAGAAUUUUAAUGCCAUUAAUAAUAAUAGCUAACAUUUCUGUAGAACCUACUAGGUGCCAGGCACUUUACAAAUAUUAUCUCAUUUGGUUCUCACAACAACCAUGCCAGGUGGGUGCUGUUAUUGUGCCUGACAGUUACAGUUGAGGAAACCAGUGCAAACAGUUAAGUGACUUGCCUAGAAUCAAACAUCUAGUAAGUGACUUAAGCCAGAUUUGAAUUCGAGGUCUUCCUAUCUAUGGGCCCAGUGUUCUACAUAUUGUGAUAUCCAUCUGCCCAUUAAAAAAAGAUCUAUUCUAUGCUACACUUUAUUUUUUUUAAAGCAUAAAUUAGCUGUAAUUUGUCAAAAGCUUUUGCUGCAUCUAUUAAGAUAAUCAUGUGGUAAGGGAGUGUGUUUGUUUUUAAUAUGAUUAAUUAUAUUGAUUGUUUUCCUAAUGUUGAACCGUUCUUUGAUCUAUAAUAUAAGCACAGCUCUGUCAGAAUGAAUGAUUUCUUGGAUGACUUGUUGGAGUUCAUUAGACUUUUUUUUUUUGGUAAUGAAUAUUUAUGAUACUGGUCUAUAGUUCUCCUGUGAUCUACACUUUCAAGGUUUAACUGUUAGGGUUGUAUUUGUCUCAUAAAUGGGAAUCUGCGAACAUGCUGUGUCUUUCUCCAUUUGGGGAGUAAUUUCUGCUCUUCGUUUUUCUUUAAAAGUUUGUCUCAGAUCAUGAGGAAGAUCUGAGGUACACUUCAUUAGAUGGGAUCAUGGCAUGGAGUUCUGCCUCAGUUUCUUUUAUUGUAGGCUGGGCGAUUUAAAACUCCACAGCAGAAAAGGAGAGGGCAGUUUACAGACAGUUGGUAUAUAUAUAGCACUGCAUUUAUAUCACAUCCACAUGAGAUGAUAGGCAAGUGAAGACUCAUGACAUAAUCAGAUGUUAAAGCCUUUGACUAGCUUACAGGCAACACAUUAAUUGAAUUUUGGCUCAACUUUAAUGUGACCUAGUAUCGUUUUAUAAUUUGCACUUAAUCAAAUUUUGUAUUACUUGAGUUUGCAUCAAUCAUAACCUAGCUGUAAAUGCUAGCUAUUUAGGAUUAUUUAGUUUUCAAUUAACUUUCAAUCCUUUCAUCAAAUGCCCUUUAAUGAAUAUAUUUUUAUUGUGUUGUAGUCAAUAAAGGAGAAAAAAAAAUUUGGUAGAAUUCUCGC